rnacentral:rRNA from 1 species
GACGAACGCUGGCGGCGUGCCUAAUACAUGCAAGUAGGACGCAGUUGCGAACGGGUGAGUAACGCGUAGGUAACUGCAUCUUAGAGGGGGAUAACUAUUGGAAACGAUAGCUAAUACCGCAUACUAGUAGAUGGACCUGCGUUGUAUUAGCUAGUAGGUAGGGUAAUUGCCUAUCUAGGCGACGAUACAUAGCCGACCUGAGAGGGUGAGCGGGCAACCGGGGAAUGAGACCCGGCCCAGACUCCUACGGGAGGCAGCAGGAGGGAAUCUUCGGCAAUGGGGGGAAACCUGACCGAGCAAAGCCGCGUGAGUGAAGAAGGUUUUCGGAUCGUAAAGCUCUGUUGUUAAGGAAGCGGUACUUAACCAGAAAGGGACGGCUAACUACGUGCCAGCCGCCGCGGUAAUUC